GACGAACGCUGGCGGCGUGCUUAACACAUGCAAGUCGAACGGAAAGGCCCUGCUUUUGUGGGGUGCUCGAGUUGCGAACGGGUGAGUAACACGUGAGUAACCUGCCCUUGACUUUGGGAUAACUUCAGGAAACUUGGGCUAAUACCGGAUAGGAGCUCCUGCUGCAUGGUGGGGGUUGGAAAGUUUCGGCGGUUGGGGAUGGACUCGCGGCUUAUAAGCUUGUUGGUUGGGUAGUGGCUUACCAAGGCUUUGACGGGUAGCCGUCCUGAGAGGGUGACCGGACACAUAGGGACUGAGAUACGGCCCAGACUAGUACGGGAGGCAGAGGUGGGGAAGAUUGCACAAGGGGCGGAAGCCUGAUGCAGCAAAGCAGCGGGGGGGAUGACGGCAUUCGGGUUGUAAACCGCUUUCGCCUGUGACGAAGCGUGAGUGACGGUAAUGGGUAAAGAAGCACCGGCUAACUACGUG
rnacentral:rRNA from 1 species